AGCCCCCGGGGAGCGCGCGCGCUGUCUGUCUCCGAUGGCAGGCGGGCGCGCGCGGGCCCGGGUCUCGGCGGGGCGCGAGGUCGCCGCCACAGCCUUCGGCGGCCGCCCGGGGCCCGCCGCUGGAUGGAACGCGGGCCCAGAUGGAACGCCGGGGGACCCGAAGGUGGGACUCUGGUCGCCUGGGGGCCAGGGAAGCUGCCGGGGUUUGAAGACAGCAAAGACUCCAGCUCCCAGAGAAAUGGGACAUGGCAUUUUCAGACACAGAGCAGCUGCCCAGGUCCCCCACCUCGUGCAGCAGAACAAAUGCUUCUCGAGACAUCACUUUUAUGAUUGUCAAUUUUAUUAGAUUUACAAGAUCUUCAUCAAUACUCCCUCAAAUUAAAAAAAAAAAAAGUACAAAAACUACAUACAAAACAUGAGGUCAGACGACUAAACUUUCCCGACUCAGGGCCAAGUUCUGCAAAGGAGAAAGAAGAGUGUAAACUGGGCAGGGACUGAGAAGAGGGGCCUGGGCAGGGUCUAACCUCGGGGAGGACCAUUCGCUCACCUUCUUUAGCCUCCGCUCCCGUGAGGCCUGGGAGUCCGUCUCCGAGUACGGGGGAGGCGGUGGAGGGUAGUAGGCCUCCUCUUCUUCCUCUUCCUCCCUGUAAUGUUUCCUCCUCUCCCCUGGCCCCUUUUUCCUUAAGGCUUCUUCUAGUAGACGCUCAUCAUAAUGCGGGUCCCCAGACCUAGAGCCUUCAUCCCGGGAGUCUCGGGAUCGGUGCUGGCGGGAUCUGGGGUCCACCUGAGGGCGGUCCCUAGACCUGAAGUCAUCGUAGUGAGGAUCCCGCGAAUGUGGAAAGUCCCUCGAGUCAUCUGGGUCGUAGAGGUCAUCACGGCUACGGCUUCGUGGGGGCAUAUCCAACUUGGGAAUGACAGGUUCUCACCAGAGGUCAUGUUGCUGUCUGUGUCCCGAAGCAGGGGUACCUGGGAGCUGUGGCCAACUGAAGGAGAUUGGUGGCCCAGGGAGACGCCCUACUCUGAUUUGGUUCAAAAGCAGAAGAAUAAGUGCUGAGCCCCACCUAGGAAAAAACCCUACAUCAGCUCAGGUGACUGAUUUGCUGUGUUAUAAUUAGCAGUGGAAGCUGUUUCCUGAUGGAUCUGCAGGGGGCUGUGGCUGGGGCUAGAGCUGAAGUAACAGGGAUAGGCGGUAGGUGGAGGAGGUGUGCCUGGGGACAGGCCUGUGCACCUUGACCUCAGCCUCAGUGGGCUAACUGAAAACUUGGUGGCAGCCCUUUAAAGUUCUUUUCUGAAUCUGUAAAAUGGACUAACACCCACCACCUGAGCCAGAGCUCUCAAUUAAGUGAUGGGAGUGAGACUUUGAGGAGCCGGGUUGCCCACCAGGGUACCAGCUGGCAUGGACGGAGCUGCAGCUUCCUGGGCACUUUCCCAGUCUUCCCUUCAAGCUCAAAGAGAAGGGAAUGCUGCAGGUCAGAGGUCACAGUGUAUGGGGGGCCCUGAGCUGUACCCUAGCCUGAAGGCAUUGCUAAUGUAGACUAAACCCACGUCCAACAGCUAGUAGGCUCCAAACACUAUAGAGGUCCAGCCCCGUGCUGAAAGCUGUGAACUGAGUUCACUACAUCCCUGACUCACCCUGCCCAGUGAGCUCUGCCAUGAGCCCCAUUUUACAGAAGAGAAGGGCAAGGCACUCACUGGGCCAGCCCAUUAGGCAUUAUCAGGCCAACCUCAAACAUCCACCUACUCAGGCUCGUAACUGCCUGUUUUCCCGUUAAUACUCCUUGGGUUGUGUGCAGAAGUAGUGGUCUAUCUACUCGCCCUCCUGAAGGACUAAGGAACUGGUAACAGCUAGUGCCCUGAGGAGGGAAACAGGCAGUGGUGGGAGGGAGACUCACUUUCUUUCUCUUUGCUUGUGUCCUCCGCCCACUUCAUCUCUGGUCCUACUUCUAUUUCUGAACUUCCACAGGUACCCCACUCUGAUACAUCAGGAGUGCCCUAAAUGCAGGCUUCAUGUAAAAUGUAUAGUGUUCAUGUGAAUAUGUGUUUUUUUAAAAUGUGCUGAAAUUACAUGGUGCGGUAAACCUUGUUUUCUUAACUUUUA